UUGGAGUGUAUUUUAUGGCCUAACUUAUGGUCUAUCCUGGAGAAUAUUGCAUGUGCUCUUGAGAAGAAUGUUUAUUCUGCUGUUGUCGGGUGGCGGGCUCUGUAUGUAUCUGGUAGUUUCAGUUGGUUUAUAGUGUUUCAAGUCCUCUAGUUCCUUGAUGCUCUUCUGUCUCAUUAUUCUGUCCAUCAUUGAAAGUGAAGUAUUGACGUCAUCAACUAUUGUUAUUGACAGUUAAUCACAUUUAACCUUUAAUUUUUAAGGUCUUUUUGGAAGUUGGGAGGACCCAUGACCACCACCCACUCCCACAUCGGACACUAUGCUCAUACCAACUGUCCCAGGCUCAGCAGCAGUGGUGGCUGUUCUUUAUUAGACAAAGAAACCGAGGUGUUUUCAGCGUCUCCCCCAAGAAGGAGGCUCCGAGGGCUGAGCCAGCCAGGCCCUGCAGGAGGGGCUGCUUCUAUUUGAACUUCUGCAGCAGCUCGCAGAUCCUCUCCUUGACCAGCGGGUCCAGGGUUGAACAGUCCCACUCUUCCAACUUCACCAGCCGGUCGUGGGCCUCCCAGAAGAGACCGGAACCAAUGGCCAGCUCCACCCUCAUGCGCCACUCAGCCAGCUUGGAGCUGUUGAGGAAGACGUUAUGGUUGCCCCCCAUGGGCUGUGGAUAGACACAGAGGAAGGAGUAGUCAGCCUGGGGACCAGCCUCACCUGGGUCCCCUCCUAUAGCCUCAAGCACUUUCCCUGUCUACUUCUGCAAAAAGUGGGUCUGCUGACCCCCGAGGCCUGGGAAAGGAGUCAUAGGCUAUGUCAUAGAUACGGGGUGGGGAUAGAAGAUCCAGAAUCCCCCAAGAUUCUUGGUCACUGAUCUUGCUUCAGGGCUCCUGAAUCCCUCUCUGAGGGGACCCCCUGGCCUAGGUGGGUCCUACUUCUCCUGCAUGAAACCUCCCAUGGGUCCUGCCUUCUUCCAGGGAAACCCCUUGUCCCCAGAUGAGGGUGGGAGGAAUUUGGUUACUUUUUCCUGAUGUUGAACCUCCCUCUGUUAUCGAGCACAGGGGCUGGAACAGGACACUCAGCAGGCAGCCCAAGAAGUAUGUGCCCAAGAUAUUUGGGAGGCCCAAAAUGGGGGACCUCCUCAACCAUCUUUAAUCCAGCGAUUCUGGUGGGGUGCUGGCAGUCACAGGGCCCUGUGCCCCAGCCAGUGAGUGGUUCACAGGUAAGGGGGUGACUCAGCCUGGGCCCAUCUGUGUCCUUCGCUGGGAACUUCGGAUCACCUGAGAAGGAGCGGUUACUCCUUGCCCGAGGACCAGGAGCUCCAAAGAUGUGGCUACAGGGCUGCCAUUGGCCGUGAGUAUACACAGAAGGCUGAGGGAUGGAGGCCGACACACCCACAGAGAAGCUGACAGGUUCACAGAUGAAGGGGAAUUUUGACACAGGAUGAAUCAUGCCUUGGAUUUCACGCAAACCUGAUUUGGACAAUUUAGAUGCUGGCACGGUGACCUUAGUGUUGAUGCUGGGGUGAUCAAGACUUUUGGAGAUGUUGGGAUGAGGUGGACUUAUUUUGUGCAUGAGAAGGAGGUGAAUUUGGGGGGACCAGAG
ensembl:lncRNA